AUCGAACGCUGGCGGCAGGCCUAACACAUGCAAGUCGAACGAGUGGCGGACGGGUGAGUAAUGUCUGGGACACUGCCUGAUGGAGGGGGAUAACUACUGGAAACGGUAGCUAAUACCGCAUACCAUCGGAUGUGCCCAGAUGGGAUUAGCUAGUUGGUGGGGUAAAGGGUCACCUAGGCGACGAUCCCUAGCGGGUCUGAGAGGAUGACCAGCCACACUGGAAAUGGUAGAAGGUCCAGACGCCGACGGGAGGCAGCAGAGGGGAAUAUGGCGCAAUGGGCGCAAGCCGGAUGCAGCCAUGCCGCGUGUAUGAAGAAGGCCUUCGGGUUGUAAAGUACUUUCAGCGGGGAGGCGUUACCCGCAGAAGAAGCACCGGCUAACUCCGUGCCAGCAGCCGCGGUAAUAC
rnacentral:rRNA from 1 species